CCCAGACCCCCUUCCCGGAAGGUCCCGCGGAACCACGGGUCGGGGGGGCUCGCAGGCCGGGCGCCCUUGCAGAGUCUGGGCGCCCCGGGCCUGACCCGCGCCCUGCCUGCUGGGGCCACCCCUCGGCCGGGGCAGGCUCCCAGACCCAGCACCCGCUUCCUCCCCGGGGCGGAGCCGGGCGGCCGCAAGCCAAGCGCCGUAAAAUUUAAAGAGCUGGGGGUAGUGAGAUGAGCCAGUCGAAGCCUGCUUUGGGGAGUGCACUGCGAGUGGGGGAGACAGGCUGUCUCUCAAAGGGAAGGAGUCCCUACCCAGGCACAUGGCAGCGUGAUGCAAACAUGCAUGGUGCCUUGAAAGGUGGGAACCAAAAAUGGAAGAAGAAGGGGUCUACACCUGCCCACUGGUCAGGAACACCCAUUUUGGAUUUAUAGAAGCCAGAAAUAAACUUUUAUCAUGUUGGAGUCAUAGA